GAGAGCCGGAUGCCAGAAAAUGGCCCGUCCGGUUCGAUGAGCGGGGGAGUGGAAACGGAGCGUCAGCCACCGCGCCACCCCUCGACUCUAC
rfam:Singulisphaera acidiphila DSM 18658, complete genome.